rnacentral:rRNA from 1 species
UGGGGAAUCUUGCCCAAUGGGCGAAAGCCUGAGGCAGCAACGCCGCGUGCGGGAAGAAGGCCCUCGGGUUGUAAACCGCUUUCAGCAGGAACGAAAAUGACGGUACCUGCAGAAGAAGGUGCGGCCAACUACGUGCCAGCAGCCGCGGUGACACGUAGGCACCAAGCGUUGUCCGGAUUUAUUGGGCGUAAAGAGCUCGUAGGCGGUUCGGUAAGUCGGGUGUGAAAACUUUGGGCUCAACCCAAAGACUGCACUCGAUACUGCUGUGACUUGAGUCCGGUAGGGGAGUGGGGAAUUCCUGGUGUAGCGGUGGAAUGCGCAGAUAUCAGGAGGAACACCGGUGGCGAAGGCGCCACUCUGGGCCGGUACUGACGCUGAGGAGCGAAAGCGUGGGGAGCGAACAGGAUUAGAUACCCCUGUAGUCC